GCACAGAGAGGCGAAACAACUUGUCCAAAGUCACACAGCUGGUAUGUGACAGAGACGGGCUUCCAGCCAGGUUACUCUGUCCCUAGAGGCUGCCUGUUGGGCCCCCACACCAUACCGACUCCUUGAAGUGAUGCCAUAGAAGGUUGAUUAUGAGGAUUAAAGAAAGAUAAGCAGGUCAUGAUGCAAGCAGACGAUUGUUCCAUGCUGGUGCCGUUGUCAUGGAAUGCGUCCUUCCCUGCCGUCCCAGCUGAGCUCAAUCCCCAGCCAAGCCACCAGGUAACUGCAGCAGGAAGCUACUAUACUGCCUGGCGUAUUUCUACCCUCAACACAUUUUUAUUGACAUAAACUUUAUCCUUCCAACAACCCUG